CCCCCCUUCCUUCACAGUAUUUAAGAAAUAAAAGUUGGAUUUUCCUGGCCAAAGAAUAAAAAAUAAAAAGGGUCUCUGAGACCCUCAGUCGCCUCUGUAAAAUUGGUCAACUGUUAGGAGCACCUGGGAGGUCUUCCAGCAGAGAAAUGAGUGAGCCGGGUACCCAGACCCCCGAGAGGAGCUCACUCCAAAGGCAGUGGUUGGUAUUUCCCUUCACCCAGCCACCUGGCUGCCCCAUUCUGCAGUCCGGCCAUCCGAGAGGUGCGCUGAGUUGUGCCCCUGCCCCCUACCGCUCACCCUGCACUGCAUCCUGUCCUGCGGACCCUGGGGUGUGGUCAGUCCCUGAAUUUGGCUCAGCUGCAGGCUGGCGGUGACUCACAACGGCCUCAUGCUCAGAGCUGGGGACUGGGGAGCAGGAGGCGGCUUUGUCCUCUGCGCUGUGUUCACACAUGCAGAGAAGAGGGUCCCCUCGCUGGGGACAGUUUACCCUGACCACCUCCGGGAGCUGCGGGAAUAUAGGCCUCCCCUUGCUCAGCCGAGCCCUGACCGUGGAGGUCUGGCCCCACAAUCAGCAACUGCGAUCCUUGAAACUCCAGGUCUCCACCCAGGGGCCUUAGUCCUGAAGCAUCUUGUCCGCCGCUCAGACACUUGAGAGCAAAAACUCCUGCCUGCCCUGCGUGCUGGUUCCUCAGACCCCUUGCUCCCUUUUAAGGCUGCUGGUGGGACCAACUGUGAGCGGUGGGGAGGUGGGCUUGCUCACGGGGAACCUCCGCCCCUACUGAGUAACGCCACGUCUUGGCCGCUGCCCGCCGACCGGGCAGGCAGGGACGGUAGGCCUUAGCGGAGAGGCUGACCCCGGCCCGCCACGCCGCGUCCCCAAGCCCGCAGCCACGCGGAACCGCGUCCUGGACCAGCCUCACCUACUCCGGGAGAGGGAGCGGCCACGGCCACCGGCGCAGGACCGCUGGUCUCCGGGCCUCUGAGCCAUGGCACUCACCUUGAGGGGAUCUGAGAUUGCUCACCAAGGAUCAAACCCCAGGUCCCCUGCAUUGAGAGCUGGAGUCUUAACCACUGGACCACCAGGGAAGUCCCCCUGUUAACUUAAAUUUGAUGCUAACUUAAAAAGCCUGUUUGUGGCUUAUCAACCUACAUUGUACAUCUGCUUUACUUAAAGAAGAGGACGCACUGACCAGAAGUCAAGGAUGUCCAUGUUCAAAAUAAAGAUUAAAGUCCUUGCUGGGAUGCCAGUUCUGGUCCUCCUCUGAUAAUAAGACUUACUUCACAGGUGCCAAGGUCAUACUGACUCGCCUCAAACGUGGUCUGUUCUGAGACCUUGAAGAAAUGUCUCCCUGACUUGUUUGACAUUCUUUGUUCUGACAAGACACAAAACUACGCUGAAAACCCUGCUUCUUUGGAGCAGUUUCACAGAGUAAUCUGGAAAGCAGGCUUCUGGGCUAGCCCUCAGUCUGGCUCAAAACUCUUUUUUUGAUUAUCGUUUAUUAUUAUUAUUUUUUUGCAUGAGACAUUACCUAUUGAAAGUGUACCAUUCCAUGCUGUUUACUAUAUCACAGAGUCCCUCGACCACCACCAUCUAAUUUCAGAGCAAAAAGAAAUCUAUACCAUUCCUUUUAACCUCAUCCCCAUUCUCCCCUCCUCCCAGCCUAUGGCGACAGCUGAUUUUACUUUCUGUUUCUGUGGGUUUGCCUGUUCUCAAAAAACAGGGCUUUUCUGUGACACAAUAAGUCACCCCACUAUGGAAGAAGAGAAAAAUGGGAUAAAGUCAAGGCCCCACGGGCACAG
ensembl:lncRNA